GAUGAACGCUGGCGGCGUGCUUAACACAUGCAAGUCGAACGAUGAAGCCCAGCUUGCUGGGUGGAUUAGUGGCGAACGGGUGAGUAACACGUGAGUAACCUGCCCUUAACUCUGGGAUAAGCCUGGGAAACUGGGUCUAAUACCGGAUAGGAGCGUCUACCGCAUGGUGGGUGUUGGAAAGAUUUAUCGGUUUUGGAUGGACUCGCGGCCUAUCCUCUUGUUGGUGAGGUAAUGGUUCACCAAGGCGACGACGGGUAGCCGGCCUGAGAGUGUGACCGGCCACAAUGGGACUGAGACACGGCCCAGAAUCAUACGGGAGGCAGCAGUGGGAAAUAUUGCAAAAUGGGCGCAAGCCUGAUGCAGCGACGCCGCGUGAGGGAUGACGGCCUUCGGGUGGUAAACAUCUUUCAGUAGGGAAGAAGAGAAAGUGACGGUACCUGCAGAAGAAGCACCGGCUAACUACGUG
rnacentral:rRNA from 1 species